rnacentral:lncRNA from 1 species
GCUGACUCCUCUUCAUGGGACAAAGUGAUUAGUUGAAACCUGCUUCCUCAUCCCUCCCGCUGUGCUACAUGCUUCCUCACUCCUAUCCCAGAAGAGAGGAAAGAACAUCUUGAAAAUCCUUCAGAAGAGCAAAGAGCCAUAUUUCUCAGAGGCUCCCAGCAAACGAAUCUUCAUGCUUCUAGACCCAAAUUUGCUUGCAUGCCCAUCCUUUCACCAAAAUCUGGGGCCGAGAAUAGGGCCACACUAGUCUGAAUCGGAUGUCCUGCCAAGGGCCAGGGGUGGAGCCAGCCUCAAAUGAAGUGCUUGGGCUGGGUAGGGUUGGCAUUAAUACCCAAUGAAAGUUGGGGUAAUCACCAAGAGAAGAAGAAAUGGAUGCCGGGGAGUCACCUUCUCGUCCAUUCACUGCGGAGACUGUUGCUUUCAAAAGAAAAGAAAUGCAUUCCAAAUUUAAGAAGAGCCUGUGGGAAGGCCAGGAUGAAAAAGGGCAUGGUGUGUCCUCAAGGAACUGAAGGAAAUGCGUUACACCAAAAGAGAAGAGAGCAGGAGAAAGAAUGGCAAGAAAUGAGACUGGAGACAUGGGAAUGCACCAGGUCCCAUACAUCCUUAAAGAUGAAAGCUAUGGCUGCCUGUCCUCAACGCAUUGGAGUUGGUGGCUUCAUGUGUGACAGAUGUCGUGCACCAAUACGACCACCCAGGAAGGACAAAUCACUGCAAUGAACAUCCUUCUACAUACAUUUAUUUUCAAACUUAGAUAUAUCUCCCAGAGAACAUUGGUCUAAACUGGGAGGAGCUUUGUAGACUACAGUUUGCAGUGAGUGCAAGGGGACUUCAUCAAGAGUGCUGGGGUGAUCUCGAUUCUGGGUCCAAGCCUCACUUCUAG